rnacentral:rRNA from 1 species
GACAGAGGGUGGCAAACGUUGUUCGGAAUUACUGGGCGUAAGCGAGUGUAGGCGGUCCGAUAAGUCGGGUGUGAAAGGCCCUGGGCUCAACCCAGGAAGUGCACUCGAAACUGACGGGCUAGAGUAUCGGAGAGGUUGGUGGAAUUCUCGGUGUAGAGGUGAAAUGCGCAGAUAUCGGGAAGAACACCCGUGGCGAAGGCGGCUCUCUGGGACGGUACUGACGCUGAGACGCGAAAGCGUGGGGAGCCGAACAGG